CAGUAGCCGCGGGAAUACGAAGGGGGCUAGCGUUGCUCGGACUUACUGGGCGUAAAGGGAGCGUAGGCGGAUCGUUAAGUUGGGGGUGAAAGCCCGGGGCUCAACCUCGGAACUGCCUUCAAUACUGGCGAUCUUGAGUAUGAGAGAGGUGAGUGGGACUCCGAGUGUAGAGGUGAAAUUCGUAGAUAUUCGGAAGAACACCAGUGGCGAAGGCGACUCACUGGCUCAUUACUGACGCUGAGGCUCGAAAGCGUGGGGAGCAAACAGGAUUAGAUACCCCGGUAGUCCCUGUCUCUUAUAC
rnacentral:rRNA from 1 species